rnacentral:misc_RNA from 1 species
AAGUCGUAACAAGGUUUCCGUAGGUGAACCUGCGGAAGGAUCAUUAAUUAAAUAUGAUACUCUAAUCAUUAAUUAGCCACAUGGUUUUUUAAUAUAUUUUUAUUAUAUAUUCGAAACCUAUUGGCAUUUUUAAUAAUAACACGUUUUUAUUUAGUAUAAUAUGUAAAUAAUAAUUAUUAUACUAAAUUUAAACAUCUAUUCGGGCUUAAAAACCCGAAUUAAAACUAUUGUUAAAAUAUUUUAAUUGAAAUUGCAUUCUUUAUUUUUAUUAUAUUAUAAUUUUAUAACAACUAAUAACAAUGGAUCUCUUGGCACU